rnacentral:rRNA from 1 species
CUUCGGGGUGGAUUAGUGGCGAACGGGUGAGUAACACGUGGGCAAUCUGCCCUUCACUCUGGGACAAGCCCUGGAAACGGGGUCUAAUACCGGAUAACACCGGCUUCCGCAUGGGAGCUGGUUGAAAGCUCCGGCGGUGAAGGAUGAGCCCGCGGCCUAUCAGCUUGUUGGUGGGGUAAUGGCCUACCAAGGCGACGACGGGUAGCCGGCCUGAGAGGGCGACCGGCCACACUGGGACUGAGACACGGCCCAGACUCCUACGGGAGGCAGCAGUGGGGAAUAUUGCACAAUGGGCGAAAGCCUGAUGCAGCGACGCCGCGUGAGGGAUGACGGCCUUCGGGUUGUAAACCUCUUUCAGCAGGGAAGAAGCGAAAGUGACGGUACCUGCAGAAGAAGCGCCGGCUAACUACGUGCCAGCAGCCGCGGUAAUACGUAGGGCGCAAGCGUUGUCCGGAAUUAUUGGGCGUAAAGAGCUCGUAGGCGGCUUGUCACGUCGGGUGUGAAAGCCCGGGGCUUAACCCCGGGUCUGCAUCCGAUACGGGCAGGCUAGAGUGUGGUAGGGGAGAUCGGAAUUCCUGGUGUAGCGGUGAAAUGCGCAGAUAUCAGAGGAACACCGGUGGCGAAAGGCGGAUCUCUGGGCCAUUACUGACGCU